rnacentral:misc_RNA from 1 species
GAUGAAGAACGUAGCGAAAUGCGAUACUUGGUGUGAAUUGCAGAAUCCCGUGAACCAUCGAGUCUUUGAACGCAAGUUGCGCCCGAAGCCAUCAGGUUGAGGGCACGUCUGCCUGGGCGUCACAUAUCGUUGCCCAAUGCCUAUUGCAGUGCAAAAGGAAUUUCUAGGGCGAAUGAUGGCUUCCCGUGAGCGUUGUUGCCUCGCGGUUGGUUGAAAAUCGAGUCCUUGGUAGGGUGUGCCAUGGUAGAUGGUGGUCGAGUUAGAACGAUACCGAUCAUGUGCAUGCUCCCCAAAAUAUGGCCUCUAUGACCCACACGCGUCUUUUGACGCUCAUGACGAGACCUCAGGUCAGGCGGGGCUACCCGCUGAAUUUAAGCAUAUCAAUAAGCGGAGGA